rnacentral:rRNA from 1 species
AUGUACCGAGCAAUAUUGUAUUUGCACCGUGUCAUGUGUCGUGUAUACGAUCCGAGUGUACUACAGUCUACAUCUCACAAACAAACUAAAUACUCCCUGCUAAAUCAGCAAUAUGAAACGGAGCGACUACUGUCUUAUGUAUGUACGGAUAGGAUGAUGCGAAACUUCCCUAACUUUUUCUUUCAAUCAGGCAAGCCCUUUUCCAUUAAUUUCUCCACUGCAGACUUACACAACUUGAGAGGAAAACUGACUAAGGGCAUCUUCAAUGGUGACUCGCAAAUUUUCUCCCGCAUCCGUCCGUGGAUAGGGACCAGUUUGCGGACAUCGAUGCGGGAGGCCACCAUCCAAUGCUAA